rnacentral:misc_RNA from 1 species
GAUGAAGAACGCAGCGAAAUGCGAUAAGUAGUGUGAAUUGCAGAAUUCAGUGAAUCAUCGAAUCUUUGAACGCACAUUGCGCCCCUUGGUAUCCCGAGGGGCAUGCCUGUUCGAGCGUCAUUUCACCACUCAAGCCUGGCUUGGUGUUGGGCGACGUCCCCUUUGGGGACGCGCCUCGAAACGCUCGGCGGCGUGGCACCGGCUUUAAGCGUAGCAGAAUCUUUCGCUUUGGAAGUCGGGGCCCCGUCUGCCGGAAGACCUACUCGCAAGGUUGACCUCGGAUCAGGCAGGGAUACCCGCUGAACUUAAGCAUAUCCAAUAAGCGGAGGA